rnacentral:rRNA from 1 species
GAUGAACGCUGGCGGCGUGCCUAAUACAUGCAAGUCGAGCGAACAGACGAGGAGCUUGCUCCUCUGACGUUAGCGGCGGGCGGGUGAGUAACACGUGGAUAACCUACCUAUAAGACUGGGAUAACUUCGGGAAACCGGAGCUAAUACCGGAUAAUAUAUUGAACCGCAUGGUUCAAUAGUGAAAGAUGGUUUUGCUGUCACUUAUAGAUGGAUCCGCGCCGCAUUAGCUAGUUGGUAAGGUAACGGCUUACCAAGGCGACGAUGCGUAGCCGACCUGAGAGGGUGAUCGGCCACACUGGAACUGAGACACGGUCCAGACUCCUACGGGAGGCAGCAGUAGGGAAUCUUCCGCAAUGGGCGAAAGCCUGACGGAGCAACGCCGCGUGAGUGAUGAAGGUCUUCGGAUCGUAAAACUCUGUUAUUAGGGAAGAACAAAUGUGUAAGUAACUAUGCACGUCUUGACGGUACCUAAUCAGAAAGCCACGGCUAACUACGUG